rnacentral:rRNA from 1 species
GACGAACGCUGGCGGCGUGCCUAAUACAUGCAAGUCGAACGCACUCUCGUUUAGAUUGAAGGAGUUUGCUCCUGAUUGAUAAACAUUUGAGUGAGUGGCGGACGGGUGAGUAACACGUGGGUAACCUGCCCUAAAGUGGGGGAUAACAUUUGGAAACAGAUGCUAAUACCGCAUAAAACCUAACACCGCAUGGUGUAGGGUUGAAAGAUGGUUUCGGCUAUCACUUUAGGAUGGACCCGCGGUGCAUUAGUUAGUUGGUGAGGUAAAGGCUCACCAAGACCGUGAUGCAUAGCCGACCUGAGAGGGUAAUCGGCCACACUGGGACUGAGACACGGCCCAGACUCCUACGGGAGGCAGCAGUAGGGAAUCUUCCACAAUGGACGAAAGUCUGAUGGAGCAACGCCGCGUGAGUGAAGAAGGUUUUCGGAUCGUAAAACUCUGCUGUUGGAGAAGAAUGUAUCUGAUAGUAACUGAUCAGGUAGUGACGGUAUCCAACCAGAAAGCCACGGCUAACUACGUG